rnacentral:rRNA from 1 species
UACGUAGGGUGCAAGCGUUGUCCGGAAUUAUUGGGCGUAAAGAGCUCGUAGGCGGUCUGUCGCGUCUGCUGUGAAAACUCAGGGCUUAACCCUGAGCUUGCAGUGGGUACGGGCAGACUAGAGUGCGGUAGGGGAGAUUGGAAUUCCUGGUGUAGCGGUGGAAUGCGCAGAUAUCAGGAGGAACACCGAUGGCGAAGGCAGAUCUCUGGGCAUUAACUGACGCUGAGGAGCGAAAAGCAUGGGGAGCGAACAGG